AUUGAACGCUGGCGGCAGGCCUAACACAUGCAAGUCUAACGAGUGGCGGACGGGUGAGUAAUGUCUGGGAAACUUCCUGAUGGAUGGGGAUAACUACUUGAAACGGUAGCUCAUACCGCAUACCAUCUGAUUUGCCCAUAUGGGAUUAGCUAGUAGGUGGGGUAAAGGCUCACCUCGUCGACGAUCCCUAGCUGGUCUGAGAGGAUGACCAGGCACACUGGAACUGAGACACGGUCCAGACUCCUAGGGGAGGCAGCAGUGGGGAAUAUUGCAAAAUGGGCGAAAGCCUGACGCAGCCAUGCCGCGUGUAUGAAGAAGGACUUCGGUGUGUAAAGUACUUUCAGUGGGGAGGCGUUAUCCGCAGAAGAAGCACCGGCUAACUCCGUGCCAGCAGCCGCGGUAAUAC
rnacentral:rRNA from 1 species